rnacentral:tRNA from 1 species
GCCCAACUCAGUUGGUUAUAGUGUGGUGCUGAUAAUGCCAAGGUUGCAGGUUUGAUCCCUGUAUGGGACA